GUUGUCGCCCGGCCCGUUUCUGUUAGUGUGUUUGCAUAGCGGGCCGCGCCGCUGGUUUUGAAGAGCCGAUAGAGGGCGGCGAUUCAGUUUUUCCCUUCCCCUUUACCUCCUCUUUCCUCGAAGCAGUCAGCCUGUUCCCCAUUUUUGUCCCCUUCGACAGUUGCUUCUCGAGGCAGCGGCGACUACUGGAGAGCGAGAAGGAGAGGCAGACGCAUCUGAGCUGAAAUCAACUGUUCUAACAGUCUUGUUUAAGCAACUUUGGAAACAGAACUGAAUAUAAACAGAGGAGCAACUCACAAAUGAAUCAAGGUGGUGGUGAUUGUUGGGAGUGAGAAGGGAAGGGGAGGAUAGCGGCAGUCAAGAUGGUGUGCCCAGUUUUGCUUUUGCUCAUUGCGAUGUGGGCAACAGCGAGAGUUUCAGCCUCGACCUUCAAACUAGGUUUUUGUUUGAUGCCACUUAAGUUUCCAGUUUCCUGAUAAUACCUCAGCACCAACAGGAUAAUGAUCUGUGUGUGCUCAACCAAAAAAUGCAGCCUGCACAACACAAAACAAAGUUAAGCCCACUCUUUUUAUUUUUCAAUCAUCUGCUUUUGUUAUAUGAACCACAUAAGUAGGAUAGAAUUUUUGAAGUGCUACACCCUAGAUGUGUAUUUGUUCAAACCUUAGAGUCAGCAGCUAGUAGCAUUUCUGUGUAUGACAUGUUCCUGCCGAAGCCUUCAUUCAACGCCAAUACCUGCAAUUUUUUAUUAGUUCAUGGGGGUUAAAAUUUUGAAAUAGAUACGGUUCAUACCAACUAGACAGAGAACAUAAAUUUCAUGAUUUUUUCUUCAAAAGCACCUUUACUAUUUUUAUUUGAUCCAAAACAAUAAACCAACUUACAUCUUCUUUCUGCUGCACAAAACGGCCAACAUGUUGACCAGCAAGUGGGUUUGAUCUAUUACUCACAAGAUUCAGAGCAGCAUUCGAUGGUGUUGCCAACUCAUAAACUGGAGUGGUGAACGAGUAAGGUGGAGUCAUUUGCAGGUAUUGCUGUCCACUGUCUUCCAUUGAAAAAGCCUUGGUUCAAACAUCACCGCUGGGUACUGGGAUUGCACAGGAUGCAAUCAAAAUUCAUCAAUGAGGACUAGCAUAUGUUUCAUAGAAAAAGAGAAGGAUAUUACAGGCGCACAUGAUCUUGGUAACCAAACCAAUUUCCCAAGGUUUUACAAUCAAAAAGGGAUCUACAAAGGAUCUACAAGGACAGUUUCUCUCAUGUCAGACAAACGAACAAACAAGCCCAACACAAAAAGGCCCAGGGUGUGGGGGUAGUUGUACUGGAAGAGGUGGGCGGCCCACAUACAAACAAACAGGCCGCCACAAACAAACAAGCGCCAAUUGUGCGGGGUGAUCGGAAGCAACCAUGCUGGUUGUUUGUCAACAAGUGGGGACAUAUUACAUGAUGAUGUCACCUUAGAUGUGAGAUAAUAUCUCACAUCUAGAUGUGACAUAGAGAGACCCAUUGAUGAAACCGCUCAAUUGUCACUAUAUCUGUAUGUAGUUUACAUGGAUUGCAUCAAUGACGGAUGCAGGUAAUCAUGAGGCAAGAUACUCCAGUUUGUGUGUCCGUGCGGGAUACACAUGUUCACAGGAGACGUAGUGUUGUGUUUUGCUGCUAUUCAAUCUCCCCUGUUCUGUUUUGAUUGA